AGCAGCCACUCAUUAAAAGAGUGCGUAAUAGCUCACUGGUCGAGUGACUCUGCGCGGAAAAUAUAACGGGGCUAAGCGUAACACCGAAGCUUGGGCUGCACAGCAAUGUGCGGGGUAGGGGAGCGUCGAAUAUGGGGUGAAGUCGCAGCGGAAGCAGCGGUGGACUGUAUUCGAGUGAGAAUGCCGGAAUGAGUAGCGAGAAUUAUGUGGGAAUCAUAAUGGCCGAAAAUCUAAGGUUUCCUGGGGAAGGUUCGUCCGCCCAGGGUAAGCCGGGAGCUAAGGCGAGGCCGAAAGGCGUAGUCGAUGCACAUACGGUUGAAAUUCCGUAGCCACCGAACCUUAAGUACACUGACACAUGGAGAUAGCGGGACCCGGGCGUUGGUUGACCCGGGCGUAAGGGACCGAACUAUAGUAGGGAAGUCCGCGAUGCUCUGUGGCGAGAAAAGGUGUAUGGUAUGCUAAGGUGCCCGUACCGCAAACCGACACAGGUAGAUGAGGAGAGAAUCCUAAGGCCAACGGGAGAAGGGUUGUUAAGGAACUCGGCAAAAUGACCCCGUAACUUCGGGAUAAGGGGAGCCUCCUACGGGAGGCCGCAGCGAAUAGGCCCAAGCGACUGUUUACCAAAAACACAGGUCUCUGCUAAAUCGAAAGAUGACGUAUAGGGGCUGACGCCUGCCCGGUGCUGGAAGGUUAAGAGGAGAUGUUAGCCGCAAGGCGAAGCAUUGAAUCGAAGCCCCAGUAAACGGCGGCCGUAACUAUAACGGUCCUAAGGUAGCGAAAUUCCUUGUCAGGUAAGUUCUGACCCGCACGAAUGGCGUAACGACUUGGGCGCUGUCUCAACAGCCCACCCGGCGAAAUUGUUGUACUGGUGAAGAAGCCAGUUACCCGCAACUAGACGGAAAGACCCCAUGGAGCUUUACUGUAGCUUAAUACUGGAAAUCGGUAAAUCAUGUACAGGAUAGGUGGGAGACUUGGAAGCCAGGGCGUCAGCUUUGGUGGAGUCAGCCUUGGGAUACCACCCUUGAUUUGCUGGUUUUCUAACCUGCGGCCGUGAAUCCGGUCGGGGGACACUGUUAGGUGGGCAGUUUGACUGGGGCGGUCGCCUCCUAAAAGGUAACGGAGGCGCUCAAAGGUUCGUUCAGCACGGACGGAAACCGUGCAGUGAGUGUAAACGCAUAAACGAGCCUAACUGCGAGACCGACGGGUCGAGCAGUAACGAAAGUUGGAGUUAGUGAUCCGGCGGUAUGUGAGUGG
rnacentral:rRNA from 1 species